GACAGUUGACAGCAGUUCAACAAUGUGUCAUUCAUAACCUAAAAUGUGACGUCACAUGGUAUUUUGUAUGUCAAAUAAAUUUUGACAGCUAUUUUUACAAUGAAUACUCUUGCCUGUAAGUAAUGCAGCGAAUAGAUUUAAUAUAUUGUUACUUGCACUACAGUGUUGCCAACACAUUCUAAAAUUUCCUCAUUUAAACAAAAAGAACAGUACUAGGACGGACAGUGGAGACAGCAUGUUGCACCACCGCACCAAGGCUUUCUACUGAUCAAUUCAAGAAAAUAGCGUUCGAACUUAACCUAAAAAGAUUCAAUCCUCCUUUUCUCAAUUUUAAAUGUUCACAGCAAAUACAUUUAGCAACAGUGGAAAACCGUGUUAUUCAUAACCUAAAAUGUGAUGUGAACUUAUUUGUAUCUUGACAGGUGCCUUAAUAACAGAACGAGUAAGGAAGACAUUUGCAAUGCACUGUUGGCAAAGGAAGGAAUAAUUGACAAUUGACAGUUUUGACAUUUCACCUCGGUGCAGUAAUAUAAUGACUACAAUGCAAUGUUGCCAACUGCAAGAAACUUUCCCUUACCAGAGUUUGAUUAUGUUGUAAACACUGUCCUAAUUUCUGAAAUUAUUUAUUCCACUUUUCUUUACUAUAAUUCAACUAUAUCAUUGGUACGGUCCUGCAAACUUUUCCCUUUUUGCCCACUUUUCCAUUGGUGCAAUUUUCCAGUUUCCACGUUUCUCGUCAUUCUCACUAUAUAAAACACACGCCAUGUUUAAAGGACUAUUCAAGGAACAGAUGGGCCGCACCAAUAUGUUCUUGUAAUAAAAAAAUAAUUCUGAUUUGGUUUGUUAUCGGUUAUAUGUCUUGUUAGUUUUUAAGAUAAUUGCAAAAAAAAAAUAAAUUGUAUAAUGUACUGAUUCCGGUGUAGUUAACACCGGAUGUUUGCCUAAUGAAGCCUUUAGCAUAUUUAUAAUACAUCGUUAAGACAUGCAGUUAAUAUUUAUUAAAAAAAAAAAUACACAUUCCAUAAUAAUUAUAAAAUUUAAGAAACAAGAUAUUUACGUUUAGGUACUAUCUUGAAGAAAAAAAAAGAAAAUUGUCAAUAUAUCCUAGAAUAUGUUUGAAUAAUAAUAAUGAGAAAAAAGAAGAAUAUUAAACGAUUCUAUAGUUUUUAAACACAAGAAACCAGUGAGCUGCGAUUGUUAGAUGUAAUAAAUAAGAAUUAAGCCUUUCGCAGAAAAUGUAUAAAAUUUAAAAAAAAAAUAUUUAAUAAUUUUUGGGGGAUGAUAAACGUACCGUUUGUCCAAAAAAGUGAUUUUUUAUACCCUGUUCGGUGUUUUUUUUGUAUAGAUGGCGCACGCGUGGUAACAGUUAUAAAAAUGUUUUCUAUACGCGACUUCUAAGAAGUACAUUGAAUAUAAAAUAAUAUUAUAAAGCUUAAUGGGAUUUUGUAAUUUGUUUUUAUUGUAUAUCAUGUAUAUUUCAUCGUUUUGGACAAAAUGUACCGUAAAACCGUUUAAUAAUAUUGAAUUUAGAAACAAUAUGUAUUCUUUAAAUAGAAAUAAAAAUAUAUCUAAUAAA
rnacentral:lncRNA from 1 species